rnacentral:misc_RNA from 1 species
UCUCCGUAGGUGAACCUGCGGAGGGAUCAUUACUGAGUGAGGGUCUCCGGGCCCGACCUCCAACCCUUUUGUGAACCACCUCGUUGCUUCGGGGGCGACCCUGCCGUUCGCGGCGUGGGGCCCCCGGAGCCCAUCAAACCCUGCGUAACUAAGUCGUCGGAGUAUUAGUAAAUCUAAUCAAAACUUUCAACAACGGAUCUCUUGGUUCUGGCAUCGAUGAAGAACGCAGC